rnacentral:rRNA from 1 species
CAGUCGAACGAACUUCCGUUAAUUGAUUAUGACGUACUUGUACUGAUUGAGAUUUUAACACGAAGUGAGUGGCGAACGGGUGAGUAACACGUGGGUAACCUGCCCAGAAGUAGGGGAUAACACCUGGAAACAGAUGCUAAUACCGUAUAACAGAGAAAACCGCAUGGUUUUCUUUUAAAAGAUGGCUCUGCUAUCACUUCUGGAUGGACCCGCGGCGUAUUAGCUAGUUGGUGAGGUAAAGGCUCACCAAGGCAGUGAUACGUAGCCGACCUGAGAGGGUAAUCGGCCACAUUGGGACUGAGACACGGCCCAGACUCCUACGGGAGGCAGCAGUAGGGAAUCUUCCACAAUGGACGCAAGUCUGAUGGAGCAACGCCGCGUGAGUGAAGAAGGGUUUCGGCUCGUAAAGCUCUGUUGUUAAAGAAGAACGUGGGUAAGAGUAACUGUUUACCCAGUGACGGUAUUUAACCAGAAAGCCACGGCUAACUACGUGCCAGCAGCCGCGGUAAUACGUAGGUGGCAAGCGUUAUCCGGAUUUAUUGGGCGUAAAGCGAGCGCAGGCGGUCUUUUAAGUCUAAUGUGAAAGCCUUCGGCUCAACCGAAGAAGUGCAUUGGAAACUGGGAGACUUGAGUGCAGAAGAGGACAGUGGAACUCCAUGUGUAGCGGUGAAAUGCGUAGAUAUAUGGAAGAACACCAGUGGCGAAGGCGGCUGUCUGGUCUGCAACUGACGCUGAGGCUCGAAAGCAUGGGUAGCGAACAGGAUUAGAUACCCUGGUAGUCCAUGCCGUAAACGAUGAUUACUAAGUGUUGGAGGGUUUCCGCCCUUCAGUGCUGCAGCUAACGCAUUAAGUAAUCCGCCUGGGGAGUACGACCGCAAGGUUGAAACUCAAAAGAAUUGACGGGGGCCCGCACAAGCGGUGGAGCAUGUGGUUUAAUUCGAAGCUACGCGAAGAACCUUACCAGGUCUUGACAUCUUCUGACAGUCUAAGAGAUUAGAGGUUCCCUUCGGGGACAGAAUGACAGGUGGUGCAUGGUUGUCGUCAGCUCGUGUCGUGAGAUGUUGGGUUAAGUCCCGCAACGAGCGCAACCCUUAUUACUAGUUGCCAGCAUUAAGUUGGGCACUCUAGUGAGACUGCCGGUGACAAACCGGAGGAAGGUGGGGACGACGUCAAAUCAUCAUGCCCCUUAUGACCUGGGCUACACACGUGCUACAAUGGAUGGUACAACGAGUCGCGAGACCGCGAGGUUAAGCUAAUCUCUUAAAACCAUUCUCAGUUCGGACUGUAGGCUGCAACUCGCCUACACGAAGUCGGAAUCGCUAGUAAUCGCGGAUCAGCAUGCCGCGGUGAAUACGUUCCCGGGCCUUGUACACACCGCCCGUCACACCAUGAGAGUUUGUAACACCCAAAGCCGGUGGG